rnacentral:rRNA from 1 species
UAUGAACCGUCCAAACGUUAUUCGGAUUUACUGGGCUUAAAGGGUGCGUAGGCGGCUCAGAAAGUAGGGUGUGAAAGCCCUCGGCUCAACCGAGGAAUUGCGCUCUAAACUACUGGGCUCGAGGAACGCGGAGGUAAGCGGAACUUAGGGUGGAGCGGUGAAAUGCGUUGAUAUCCUAAGGAACACCAGGAGCGAGAGCGGCUUACUGGGCGUUUUCUGACGCUGAUGCACGAAAGCUAGGGGAGCGAACGGG